CCUACGGGAGGCAGCAGUGAGGAAUAUUGGUCAAUGGACGGAAGUCUGAACCAGCCAUGCCGCGUGCAGGAAGACGGCUCUAUGAGCUGUAAACUGCUUUUGUACAAGGGUAAACCUGAAUACGUGUAUUCAGCUGAAAGUACUGUACGAAUAAGGAUCGGCUAACUCCGUGCCAGCAGCCGCGGUAAUACGGAGGAUCCACGCGUUAUCCGGAUUUAUGGGGUUUAACGGGUGCGCAGGCGGAUUGAUAAGUUAGAGGUGAAAUGUCCGAGCUUAACUCGGGAACUGCCUCUAAUACUGUUGAACUAGAGAGUGGAUGCGGUAGGCGGAAUGUAUGGUGUAGCGGUGAAAUGCUUAGAGAUCAGACAGAACACCGAUUGCGAAGGCAGCUUACCAAUCUAUAUCUGACGUUGAGGCACGAAAGCGUGGGGAGCAAACAGGAUUAGAUACCCUAGUAGUC
rnacentral:rRNA from 1 species